rnacentral:misc_RNA from 1 species
UCCGGUUUGUCACCGGCAGUCUCAUUAGAGUGCCCAACUGAAUGUAGCAACUAAGGACGGGGGUUGCGCUCGUUGCGGGACUUAACCCAACAUCUCACGACACGAGCUGACGACAGCCAUGCACCACCUGUCAUGGGCCCUUACGGACACCGUGUUUCCACGGCUUUUCCCAUGAUGUCAAACCCAGGUAAGGUUCUUCGGGUUGCAUCGAAUUAAGCCGCAUGCUCCGCCGCUUGUGCGGGGACCCGUCAAUUCCUUUGAGUUUUAACCUUGCGGCCGUACUCCCCAGGCGGAUGACUUAAUGCGUUAGCUGCGCCACCGAAAGCCAAGGCCCCCGACAGCUAGUCAUCAUCGUUUACGGCGUGGACUAC